UAAUUAAUGAAAUCACUCUUUCAAAAAAUAUUAAGACCUCAUUAGAUGUAUAAAUAAUAUGCUACAUAAGCACCUUGGGGUCAUAUAAAACAAAUGUAGAAUACUCUGUUCUUCAGGAGAGACCGGAUAUGGAGAAAAAGAUCUGUAACAAUACAAGGCAGUGUACUUUACAUGUUAAAAUAAAUGACACAGACAACUGGUUUUACAAAACACCAGCAAAAGGUCUUCCUUUAUACAUGCCACAGGGUGAUAUGAAGAUUACCCUAGACUUAGCACUUAUCCCAACUGCAAUCAUGUGGUCAUUUGCCCAGUUAUCUUUUUGAUGUCUGUUGCUCUUGCAGAAUGCAAGCUCCAUGGGAACAGAGGACAUUUAAAAAAUCUUCUUGUUUUGACUCCAUGUUAUUGAAUAAAACAUAUCUCAAUCAGAAUACACCAAUUUCCAUUAAUUUUUGAGAACACUUUUUUGAGCUAAUGCCAUUUAAGCCAAUGUAAUUCCUUGAUUCAUUUUCUAUGCAAUACAGUUGAACCACUUCCUUUUAAAAAAUACCAUUUCACUUUUAUUUUUUAGUUAAAAGUUUGUAUUUAUUUCCUGAAUCAUCCUCAACAAAACUAUCAACAAAUAUUGCCCAGGAUUGUUUUAUUUCACAACCAAGUCCAUUCUUCAGUAGGAAUUUGGCCACUCUGUAAUGAGCACCUCCUACAGAAACAAAAAGAUCCCUGGGAGUCAACAUGGCAGGCUAAAAUUUUCUGUGUUGGGACAGAGAUCUUGUCUGUCUUUUCCCUGUGGCAUGUAGAGUCUUUCGUAGUGCCUUGUCCUUUGUAGAUUCUCAAAAUAGAUAUGGUGAAUUAAUGGAGAAUCCUUGAGAAUUUAAAGAGCUUGCAAAUGCCUCAUUGAAAAAGUGACACAAGUUAGACCUUGAAUAAUAGGCAGAACAGAAUAGAGAAAGAGUGGGGACACUUUGGUUGGGAGGAGGAAGGGAUACACAGUGGGCUGAGCAAAACUUGGAGUCAGGUCUAAAUGUGGAAGGUUGGGACUGGCUGUCUUAGUCUCUUCAGGCUGCUAUAACAAAAUACCAAAAACUGGGUGGCUUAUAAAUAACAGAAAUAUAUUUCUCACAGUUCUGAAGGCUGGGAAAUCCAAGAACAAGACACCAGCAUUUGGUGUCUAGUGAGAGCCCAUUUUCUGGUUCAUAGACAGCGUCUUUUUGCCAUGACCUCGCUUAAAGGAAGGGGUGACCAAAUUUCUUUGGGCUUGUUUUAUAAUGACACAAAUCCCAUUCAUGAGGGCACCACCCUAAUUCCUUCCCAAAGGCUACAUCAUCUAAUACCAACACCUUGGGGAUUUGGAGUUCAACAUAUGAGUUUGGGGGGACAUUCAGACCCUGCACUGAGUGUAUGGUAUUAGAGACGAAAAGCUGUCCAUGGGGGACCAAUAUGACCACCAACAUUGUUAUACAAUAUAGUUAAAUGAGCUGGUGAGUUAAAUAAGUACUAAUCCUCUGAUACAUCCCCUACCAUGCUAGGCACCCAGCAAACAGAGCAGAAAGGACAGACAUGGCACCUGAGUCUAGUGAAGAAAACAGACAGUGACAGGCAUAUGAUAAGCACUUUGAUAAAUGAGGUACAUGGGGCACAUGGGGAGUUCACCUAACCAGGUGAGACUAGACCAGAAAGCCUUCUCAGAUGAAAAGAUGUCUAAGCCAAGACCUGAAUGAUGAGUAGGAAUUAGCCAUUCCACAAGAGGGGAAGAGGGGCGUAGAGUAGCAAGAGUUGGAGCUGGAUGGACAAAUGUGGGCCAGAUUAGGAAGGACCUUCUAAACCAUGUUGAAGAGCCUGAGCUUUAUCCAGAAGCAUGUGAGGUCCUCAGGAGGUUUUAAACAGGGGAGAAAACAGACUAUCUACUACAGUUUCACAGAAUUUAUUCUUUGAAAUUCCUACCACUGAGAUGGGAUAUAUGCUCCCUCCAUUUGAAUCUGGGGGGGCUUGGGACUUUAGUGGAAGUGAUGUUAUGAGACUUCUGAGACUAGGUCAUAAAAUGUAACUGCUUCUGCCUGGUCCUCUUGGGACAGUCACUCCUAGUACCUAGCCACCAUGCUGUGGGGAAGCUAUGUGUAGACAUGUUCCAGCCCCAGCACUAGCUGAGGUCCUA
rnacentral:lncRNA from 10 species